UCCAUCUCAAAAAAUAAAAUAAAAUAAUAAAAUAAAAUAAAGUCAGGGAGUGAAUGGAGGACUGAAGGAAUGGACGGUCCCAUUCACUGAGUAAGUUCCACCACAGCAGGUGUUUUAAUAAUACACUAGUAGGAAAGUAUAGCAGAAAUGAUUCCAUAUGGAUGUGGACAAUCUGCAUUUUCUACAGCACAGGCAGAGACAGGACCAUACAGGACAGCACCAGGAUAGCUGGGACAUUAGACACCUUUGGCUUUAACACUUCCUAAGAAGGAAAUGGAUCUGGACAGGCUCAGGCAUGAGUAAGUGCAUUCUCAUUUCUCCCUCCAAUCAUUGCAAACCAACAGCAUGAUUGUAUUUGUCUGGGAUUCAUUUUCAAAAAGCAUAAUGAAAAUCAUAUAUGGACCUGAACCAGGGCAGACUAAUGAAUAUUGAUUUUUCUUUCCUUCUGUCUGAAAUCUGAACAUCUCUCUUUGGCAACAUUGCUCAUUUCAUUCUUCUCAGAUGCUGGCUGAAGCAUGGGCUUUGGAAUCAGACACAAUCUGGAUUCACCACUUAUUGUUCAGGAUGGCAGAAGGAACAGAGAAGGAGGCACUGCACGGGUAACUGGAAGUAUGGCAGGAAGAGGAGAGCAAACAAGUGACAACAGGUUUGCAGCUCUUGAUCAAAGCCCGUUCAAACGAGAUAAAUCACUACAUAGAGCAUUUUUAAUGUAAAGGGCUUCGCUGUACAUCAUGCUUUUCUUAUUUUUACCCUAAAGGGACCACAUCAAAAGCUGCAUAGAGGUAUUCACAGGCAAAGGAGGCAGCGUAUUGAGUGCGAAGACAUUGUGAGGACAAGCACCUGAAUUGAAGCUGCCAAGCAGCCCACCUCCCUGCCUCCCACCCUUCCUAAAGUUAUUCUCCAGUAAAUAGCCCUCCCAUGUGGACUGGCACCCAUUGAAGAGCGACUGAUUAUCAGAAACAAACCAGCAUGGGACCUCUACUUACAGAAAAGGAGAAAAGAAACUGAUCAAACACAAAUAUAAAGAACAACUUUCCAAAAACGACUAUCUCACCAAACAAGCAAAUUUCACUUUUCAUUGGGCGUCAUCAACUAAGUAGAAGGAAAUAUACGCUUUUGAAGAAAGAUUUGAAAAAAUAAACUUAAAAAGAAAGAAUAAGGAUGAGAAAGUAGAGCAAGAUAGUUAGUGGAUAGUGAGCAAGAAAAGUUCAGAAGAAAAGAAAGAAAGAAAGAAAGAAAGCCAUCAAAC